rnacentral:lncRNA from 1 species
GAGGUAGUCAUAAUGAAAUAACGGAUAAAUGGCUGUGAUCUCCCUUACCUCUCCACCCAUACCCACCCCUGCCACACCCUGCUUAUUGGUUCUGUGUCUCUAGAUAAAUCAAAUAAGGCAAUAAGACGAGCCAUGAGAUUUUGGAUCUAUAUGUAUAUCAACAUCAGCGAAGGAUCCGGAGAUGUGACUCAGGGGUUAAGGACACUUGCUGCUCUCAUAGAAGACUGGAGUUUGGGUUCCAGCACCCACAUCAGGUGGCUCCUACCAUCUGUAACUCCAGAUUAAGCGGAUCCGAUGCCCUCUUCUGGUCCCUGAAGAGCAGAACCCUGGGACUGCCCUCCAGAGAGCUGGAGGGAGGCACACCAUUCUCGGAUGCUCUGAAGGACGUUUAAUUCUUCAAUCAGAUCCUGAAGGCAAAGACAUUCACAACAAGCUAAGGAAAAUGACUGCUGAAGGUUCUACCGAGGACAACUCACAUCCCAUCCUUCGUGGGACUGAGAACUCGAGACGCAGAUUCAUCCAUGGCGCCAGGGAAUUAACAGUAGAAAGUGACCUUUCACCCAGAUGAACGUGUGCCAAGUGAGAAGAUAAUUGAAGUAUGACAACAGAGCUGUGGAGGCUGUGUGCUUAAGUAUUCUUACCUGUAACAAAAGGCUGCAUAGGGUGUUUCAGUGAUUUGUAGAAUUCCACCCUGUCUUUCUCAGCUUGCUUUUUCUCCUUCCCUCGAUUAUACACAAUAUCCUGCUCCUCUCAUAGCUUGUGCAGCAUGUGGCUGGGGACAUGUGGCUGGCUGUAGAAGUUCGUGCUGAUUAAUUUAGCCUCCCUCUCAAGCAGCCUCCUGGUAUUUGUUUCGUAGGCUUCUGAGUGUCUAGGGCCACUUUCUUUGGUGAACGUUUUACUUUUUGUGGGGCUGGAGCAGAAACAAGUGGUGGUGAAAACAGUCAAGUUAGCGAACAUAGCAACAAGGGAGUUUUUUUACUUCUCUGGAGUACCUAGUCAAUCCUGAAAACACUCCUAUUAAAGUCAUCAUUAAAC